UACGUAGGGUGCAAGCGUUGUCCGGAAUUAUUGGGCGUAAAGAGCUCGUAGGCGGUUUGUCGCGUCUGCUGUGAAAACCCGAGGCUCAACCUCGGGCCUGCAGUGGGUACGGGCAGAUUAGAGUGCGGUAGGGGAGAUUGGAAUUCCUGGUGUAGCGGUGGAAUGCGCAGAUAUCAGGAGGAACACCAAUGGCGAAGGCAGAUCUCUGGGCCGUAACUGACGCUGAGGAGCGAAAGCAUGGGGAGCGAACAGG
rnacentral:rRNA from 1 species